UAAGAUGGCUGAAAUAAGUCGUGGAUUGUAGCUCCAUAUAUAAAGGUUUAAAUCCUUUUCUUAU
rnacentral:tRNA from 1 species